GCGCAGGUGGCAGAGUGGACAAUUGCACGAGGCUGUAAACCUCGCGGCCUUCGGCCUACGGGGGUUCGAAUCCCUCCCUGCGCA
rnacentral:tRNA from 1 species